GUGCUUACUUUUUCAGCACUUAUUCUGAAAUCAGAAUGAUACAGAGAAGAUUAGUAUGGCCCCUGCACAAAGGUGACAAUGCAAAUUUGUGAAGUGUUUCAUAUUUUU